CACGUAGGCGGCCCUAUAAGUCAGAUGUGAAAGCCCGGGGCUUAACCCCGGAAGUGCAUUUGAAACUAUGGGGCUUGAGUAUGGGAGAGGGAAGUGGAAUUCCUGGUGUAGAGGUGAAAUUCGUAGAUAUCAGGAGGAACACCGGUGGCGAAGGCGACUUCCUGGACCAAUACUGACGCUGAGGUGCGAAGUCGUGGGGAGCAAACA
rnacentral:rRNA from 1 species